rnacentral:rRNA from 1 species
UACGGAGGGGGCUAGCGUUGUUCGGAAUUACUGGGCGUAAAGCGCACGUAGGCGGCUUUGUAAGUUAGAGGUGAAAGCCCGGGGCUCAACUCCGGAAUUGCCUUUAAGACUGCAUCGCUAGAAUUGUGGAGAGGUAAGUGGAAUUCCGAGUGUAGAGGUGAAAUUCGUAGAUAUUCGGAAGAAACACCAGUGGCGAAGGCGACUUACUGGACACAGUAUUGACGCUGAGGUGGCGAAAAGCGUGGGGAGCAAACAGG